GUAAGAGUCACGCUGCGAUUUAGGCUGACGGUUGUCUUCUGCUAAUAAAAACCUUCUCCUCUGUAUUUAGCAGGAGGCGAGCUCUCAGAGUCACUGGCUUGCCAGAACUCUCCUGGAUUUAAACACAGAAAUGCGGAGACAGAGAAAUGAAAACGAACUGUCAGCAGCUUUUGAAUCCAGAACAUUGAAUGUUGCCGUGAGCCCAGAAUAACAAACUGUGUUUCAAGGCACAGGCCCCGAAGAAGCAUGCAUUCCUGAAAUGGUUCUGACAGCAGCAUUGAGGAUAAGCUGCACAAGCUUCUUGAUCCGAUCCGACUGCAAGCACUGUGACCAUUGCUCCAAUGGCAUUGCUCUGUUGCUAGUACAAGGGAGCCUUCUCCGGGGUUCUUACUCAUCACUUUGCACCACCAGGAGCUGUGUGCUGGCCGGUUUGCCUGUUUUCCUCCCUGUCUGCAUGUGGUGGCUGGAAGAAGCCAAAAAAGUGAUAUUUUGCAACCCUUCUGCAUUUUCUGUGUAAAUGACUGUGAGUUUUAUUUCAGCCUGGCAAUGACAGCGUUGAUGGGAGAAGCUAACAAGCAAUUUACUUCAGUGAGGACGUACUUCAGGCCCAAUUUGUUUCUGACUGAUGACAGCAGUAGUCUACCAUUGGCUUCAAAGAAAGCUCGAUGAGCAUUACUCAGUGGCAGUAAUGCUACAUCUCCUAUAGUCUGCAACUGAAGUAGAAGAAAUACUGCAAUCUCUGUAAUUGCUUCACUCUGUAACAAAGCUUUUGUCUUUGUAACAGGCUUUGUCUUAAUAUGAGCUAGAAGGCAUAUAAGAGUAUCUUCUGUAAUAAGAAUGGCUGAUUGAAUCCUGUGAAGUUGAUUCUUACUUCACAGGAAAGUCAGCAUCGAAAAGAGAACAGAGAAGAUGUUCUUUUUUACACAGGAGAAACUUCAAAAAAAUGUUUUCAGUACCUUCUAUAAAUUACACAUCUGAAAACUGAGAAUGACAGUCUAUUUAGAAAUGCAAAUUUCAUAAUAAUAAAACUGGUGAUGAUUGGAUAGCAAAAUUAAUAGGAUAAAGAAAACCCAGCAUUACAAUCUGUAUGGUUGAACUCCAGUGUCUUCAGUGAGGAUCUUAUUGGUUCAAGAUCCAUUCUUAAUUAAGGAUUUUAAUAUGACUUUAAUAUUUAAUAUGAAUUUUUACUAGGCACUUUCAAAUGGUGCAUUCAUUGAGGUCUCUGUCUCUACUGGAUGGAUGUGUAGAUGUCAUGGUCUCAUGGCACUGUGGUCGCUUACAUUCAUCCUUACAGCAUUUGGGUGAGAUGUAUUGCCCCUUUGAUAUGCAAAUAUGAUAUUUUCUGCAGAUAGGAAAAAAAUUAAUACUUAGAUUGGACAUUUUAACAACUGCUGCGUACACACUUUGCUAAAUAAUGUACAGUUUACAUAUCUUUCAUAUCUCCAC
rnacentral:lncRNA from 1 species